CACAUGCAAGUCGAACGAGCGAGAGGAGGUUUACUUUCUCAAGCGAGUGGCGAACGGGUGAGUAACGCGUGAGGAACCUGCCUCAAAGAGGGGGACAACAGUUGGAAACGACUGCUAAUACCGCAUAAGCCCACGACCCGGCAUCGGGUAGAGGGAAAAGGAGCAAUCCGCUUUGAGAUGGCCUCGCGUCCGAUUAGCUGGUUGGUGAGGUAACGGCCCACCAAGGCGACGAUCGGUAGCCGGACUGAGAGGUUGAACGGCCACAUUGGGACUGAGACACGGCCCAGACUCCUACGGGAGGCAGCAGUGGGGAAUAUUGCACAAUGGGGGAAACCCUGAUGCAGCGACGCCGCGUGGAGGAAGAAGGUCUUCGGAUUGUAAACUCCUGUUGUUGAGGAAGAUAAUGACGGUACUCAACAAGAAAGUGACGGCUAACUACGUGCCAGCAGCCGCGGUAAAACGUAGGUCACAAGCGUUGUCCGGAAUUACUGGGUGUAAAGGGAGCGCAGGCGGGAAGACAAGUUGGAAGUGAAAUCCAUGGGCUCAACCCAUGAACUGCUUUCAAAACUGUUUUUCUUGAGUAGUGCAGAGGUAGGCGGAAUUCCCGGUGUAGCGGUGGAAUGCGUAGAUAUCGGGAGGAACACCAGUGGCGAAGGCGGCCUACUGGGCACCGACUGACGCUGAGGCUCGAAAGUGUGGGUAGCAAACAGGAUUAGAUACCCUGGUAGUCCACACUGUAAACGAUGAUUACUAGGUGUUGGAGGAUUGACCCCUUCAGUGCCGCAGUUAACACAAUAAGUAAUCCACCUGGGGAGUACGACCGCAAGGUUGAAACUCAAAGGAAUUGACGGGGGCCCGCACAAGCAGUGGAGUAUGUGGUUUAAUUCGACGCAACGCGAAGAACCUUACCAA
rnacentral:rRNA from 1 species